rnacentral:lncRNA from 1 species
AUGAAGGUUAAAUGGAACCAAGAUGGAGGUAUCUGCCAUUAUCUGAAUACGAUUAUGUGGUUUGUUUUUUUUUUUUUUUUGAGCCAAACUCCACUGAUAAGCCUGGCUUCCUUAGGGGCAGCAUUUCUCAGGCAAACAAGUUUAGAAGUCAUUUGGGAAGAAAUAUUUCUUUCCUCUGACAUGAGCGGCUAGGUGGAAAAGAUGAGUACACAUUUGCUUUGGGAGCAAGAAGUGCUGAGCUUAAUGCCUAUCAUCUCUUAGAGAUGAUGAUGUAUUAUAUAUAUCCAUAAAAUCACUGUAGCUGCUUGCUUUUUCCAGGGGGUCAGAGUACACACUCUUUAUCUUCAAAUGUCUGUUUUUUAGUCUGGCUAUAUCUUGAAAUCUGUUUUGAAUACAGCUCAGAUAGGAAGGCUUUUGUUAAGCACGUAGUGACUCACCUUCAAGCACAACAGAACACCAGGACAGCAGCCUGACCUUUGUAGUAAAAUUAAUUUGAUGCUUAUAAUCUAACCUAGAGUCCAUAGCUUUUAUUUAUAUGACAGAGUCACAAGACAAAUUAGCAGGGAUUAUUAAAUUCCACUUAAGCUCAUUAGAGGAGAAUUGAGGUUGAUGAAUUUCAGGAUACUGGUGAGUUGGCCAAAAACAUGGGAAAGGAAAGGAAUAUAGACUUCUAGGAAUAAAGUGAAAGAGGCUACCCUUAGUGCACAGUGGGCACUCAGUGAGAAGUGAUACAGUGAAUGAGGCAAGGGUAAGACAAAUGUGAUGUCUGACACCCAGGAAGCCCCUUUCCUACCUCCCACUGAUGCAUCUUCAAUCCCUAUGAGCUUCUCACACAGGGAAGCCAUUUGGCAAGUGCCAGAGACCCCAGCAUGAAGCUGGAAGGUGAGUGGGUUAAUGAUGGUAUCAGGCAUGUCAGCCUGUAUUCCCCUUCCCAUUUGAGCUGGUGGUAGGAUGUCUGGAGCAGAAGACUGCUAAUGAGAAAUGAAGAGAGUCAAAUGGAUACCAACAAACUAAGAAGAUGGCUAAGAGAUGGCUGAGAACUUCAAAGAGGAGAAUUUCUAUUGGGUUUCCAGAAAGUUUCUCCAACAGCAGUCCCAACUCCAGCAGGACCCAGGAGGAGUAAGUGUUUCUGUCAACUGCACUUUAAACAAGUGUGUUAUACACAAACCUUUGACUGUUUGCUGUGGGAAAUUCUAGUUGGUUUUAUUUAGGCAAUAUAAUAAUGUAACUUUCUGAACUGAUGCUCUUUAUCUGAACAUUCAUGAUAAUGAUUCAUGUCUGUUCUUCUUUCUUUACCAAUGAUACUUGUAUUCUAUUAGCAAAUAUAAUUUUGUAGAGGAUGAUAAGGGAAUCAAAAUUAUCCAAUUUGUUUCCAUCAUAGGAGCAGAAGGAAUCCUUCAAUGGUCUGUUUUGCAUCAUCGGACUGAUUUCAAUAAGUUUUCUUUAGUAGUCAGAAUUUGUAGCAUUAAAUAUUACUCAUCAUUGUAGAGUCAGUACUAAUUUAAUACUACAGAGAUAGCCUGGCUUUAUCUAAGUGAACCCCUUUUAUUUUUUCUCACAGGAACUGAACAUUUUCCAGUCUGGAGGUUCUCUGGAGGUUCUCCUGUACAACAGGAAGUAUGAUGACAUUGUACCUUUCCAAGACAUACUUAACGCUAGUAUGAUUCUCUAAAUGGUUAUCAGUACUUAUAUGAAUAAUUAACUGGGUACCUGCGAUAUAUCCUCUGCUGGGUUGUAAGAACUUUGAGGGCAGGGUGGUACCUUAUAUACUGUUAACUAUGCUCUGGAAUAUGACCUAGUGAAUGGACAAGCAGUGGAGUUUUAUUUCCUUCAAUUUGCUGACAGCACUGUAAUGCCUGACAAUAAUUGUGGCGCACACUAUUUACUGGUUAUUUUUUAAAGUAAAAAUGCUUUCCCAACUUUUAUACAGAUUUUCAAGUUCAUCUUGCUAAUAUUUUCUAAAUUAAUUUCUUCUUUCACUAACUGAUCUUAGCCUACAUAAGAGCAUUAAACUCUAAUCGGGUUCUCUGGUUAGCCGUUGGUUCUUUCUUUACCAAUGAUACUUGUAUUCUAUUAGCAAAUAUAAUUUUGUAGAGGAUGAUAAGGGAAUCAAAAUUAUCCAAUUUGUUUCCAUCAUAGGAGCAGAAGGAAUCCUUCAAUGGUCUGUUUUGCAUCAUCGGACUGAUUUCAAUAAGUUUUCUUUAGUAGUCAGAAUUUGUAGCAUUAAAUAUUACUCAUCAUUGUAGAGUCAGUACUAAUUUAAUACUACAGAGAUAGCCUGGCUUUAUCUAAGUGAACCCCUUUUAUUUUUUCUCACAGGAACUGAACAUUUUCCAGUCUGGAGGUUCUCUGGAGGUUCUCCUGUACAACAGGAAGUAUGAUGACAUUGUACCUUUCCAAGACAUACUUAACGCUAGUAUGAUUCUCUAAAUGGUUAUCAGUACUUAUAUGAAUAAUUAACUGGGUACCUGCGAUAUAUCCUCUGCUGGGUUGUAAGAACUUUGAGGGCAGGGUGGUACCUUAUAUACUGUUAACUAUGCUCUGGAAUAUGACCUAGUGAAUGGACAAGCAGUGGAGUUUUAUUUCCUUCAAUUUGCUGACAGCACUGUAAUGCCUGACAAUAAUUGUGGCGCACACUAUUUACUGGUUAUUUUUUUAAAGUAAAAAUGCUUUCCCCAACUUUUAUACAGAUUUUCAAGUUCAUCUUGCUAAUAUUUUCUAAAUUAAUUUCUUCUUUCACUAACUGAUCUUAGCCUACAUAAGAGCAUUAAACUCUAAUCGGGGUUCUCUGGUUAGCCGGUUGGUUCUGUCUAUAAAAACGAUCUCAAGUCACAGGAAUAAGAUCAGGGGAAUUAGGGAUGAUACGCAAAGUAUUCAAACACCAGUAUGGCAUGAGUAACCAAAUAGAACCUCACCACUGGAAUCAGAUCAGAUCAGAUCAGAUCAGUCGCUCAGUCGUGUCCGACUCUUUGCGUCCCCAGGGCCCAGGAAAUCCCUUGUUGUGCCAGAGGUCAACUUAUUAUUGCUAGACUGUGGGAAGCCUGGAGGAUACCAGAAGGGUCAGGCAGUCAUUUAGGAGGUAUCUGAACAGUGAUUAUCUAUUAGCAGGAAUGGCUGGUGAUCACUUACGGGCACCUGACAAUACCUAUUUACCAACUGGAACAGAAGCUUUUGAAUAUUUUAAAACUAGUAUGCCCAGCUAGUGCACACUGGCUGAAUAUCAGUCAGGAGGUUGUGGACUACCUUCACUGGGGCAUGCAGCAUAAUAAGCAGAUAGUCCUACCCACAGCUGCAGUCUUCUGAAGUAAUCUGUUUUAAUGUUCCAGGAAACCAUUGUGAUAAAAGUUACUCCUUAUGUUAAGCCACAAUACAAAAAAAAAAAACACACACAAAAACCCUUUCUAUAGAAAUAUUCAUUUAUGUCCUCUUAUUCUGUUUUAUGAACUUCUAAUCACUUUUUAUGUGUUAAACAU